UGCCCGCUGCCAAAGGGGAAAGAGGCACCUUGGUGGUGGUGGCGUUCUUAGUCAGGGACAGAGCAGAUGGCGGUUCUUGUUCAUCCUAGCUUGACACCUGCCUUGGUAGCCAAAUCUAUUUUAUGACUAGGACUCAUAC